rnacentral:rRNA from 3 species
GUUGGUUAGCUUGCUAACCGGCGGACAGCGGCGGAAGGGAGAGUAACGCGUGGUUAUGUGCCCUGAAGACCGGGAUAGUGUUGGGAAACUGGCAGUAAUACCGGAUAAUAUCUUUGGAUCAAAGGUGUGAUUCCGCUUCAGGAUCGGACCGCGUACUAUUAGCUUGUUGGUGGGGUAAUGGCCCACCAAGGCUCAGAUGGUUACCGGGUGUGAGAGCAUGACCCGGCUCACUGGGACUGAGACACUGCCCAGACAUCUACGGAUGGCUGCAGUCGAGAAUCUUCGGCAAUGGACGAAAGUCUGACCGAGCGACGCCGCGUGCGGGAUGAAGGCCCUCGGGUUGUAAACCGCUGUCAGUUAGGAGGAAAUCUAUGGGGGCACUCUCUCAUAGUUGACCGAUUUUCAGAGGAAGGACGGGCUAAGUUCGUGCCAGCAGCCGCGGUAAGACGAACCGUCCAAACGUUAUUCGGUAUCACUGGGCUUAAAGCGUGCGUAGGCGGCUUGAUAGGUGAGAUGUGAAAGCCCACGGCCCAACCGUGGAAUUGCGUUUCAAACCCUCAAGCUCGAGGAAGAUAGGGGUGAUGGGAACUUAUGGUGGAGCGGUGAAAUGCGUUGAUAUCAUAGGGAACACCGGUGGCGAAAGCGCAUCACUGGAUCUUUUCUGACGCUGAGGCACGAAAGCUAGGGUAGCGAACGGGAUUAGAUACCCCGGUAGUCCUAGCCGUAAACGAUGAGCACUGGGUUGAGGGAACUAUCACAUUCUCUCGGCCGUAGCGAAAGCG